rnacentral:misc_RNA from 1 species
ACCCGCUUCCUAACUUUACCAUCGCGUUGUGCCGUGAGACGGACCUCGAACGAUUUAUUGGAAGUUAUAUUUAUCUACUAUCAGAUAAUAGGAUUACUGAAACUGUUGUUACUGGUGUAUAUUCCCAGCCCGUAUUGUCUGGGGCAAAGAGUAUUCUUCAGCCUGGGCAUCUGAUUUAACCAUAUACGUCUUCGGAUUUAACACCGAGUAAGAAGUCGACGUUACUUGACACAUUUCGUCACUAGCUGACAGCAAGCUGACUAAACUGAACAGACGAUAAUAGGGAACAAUUGAGAAAUAAUGAUCUAACAAUAAAGGAAAACGAACACAGUGUUAUUUAAUUGAACUACUUUUUGGCUCAAGAAUCAUUGUGCAAGUAUUUGGAGAGGUAUAAUUCUCAUGAAUUCAUGGUCCAGCAAUUGAAUUGUACCUUCCAAAUUUUAUCUGCAUAUCGCACAAAUGCCGUUAGAAGAGAACAACGAUUCUGGAGACAUUUUACAACCCAUUCCUUUCGAAGAAUGGCCUCUGCUUCAAAAUUAUUUCAAAGAUGAUUGGCCGACAUAUUCACACUACUAUUACUGGAUUGACAACAGUAUAAAAUGGAAGAAACUGUCUCCAAACCUGGACUUACAAAUCUACUCCAUACAAGGAGAUUAUCAACUCGAUGGAACUUUCGUGGGAAUAUCAAAUAUUUCAACACCAAUGCUCUGGGUUUUUACGACUGACAAAUCAGAGGAAAAAUUUCGUGAAGCACUAAUUAAAUCCAAUCGAUUAGACUGGAGCAAACAUAUUACAUUUUGCGCAGUUCACGAACACGUCAUACCAAUUUUAAAUUUGGCACUAGACUAUCUAAAACUUAACCGAGGGAUUGAAAAGGCUUUAGACAUACCAGGCAGAUUUCGUUUCAAAUCUGCCAAUGACGCUGUAAAAGUAGAAGUAAGGGUGCCCGACGAGUGUUAUUUGGGUAAGCUGAAUCUAUCUCAUGUCCCUAUAAUAAAUUCGUUGUGGCCACAUACCAACAAGGAAAACCCAGAAUCUUCAAUGAAAUACUUCAGAGCUAUAGUUAUGUGGAACAAGGGUUUAGGACUCUUCUUGAAAGAAGGAGAUGUGCUAGUAUCUUGGGCUCUUCAAUCCGAUUGGUACGGUUUUUUAGCACUUCAGACUCGAGAUGAGUACCAAGGAAGAGGCUAUGCCAAAGUUAUUAUCAAUGCUUUGGCCAAAGAGCUCGGAGAGGAAGGAAUAGAUCCGAUCUUGUCUAUAGUAGAUGGCAACACACGUUCUGCACAUGUGUUUGAUUCUCUGGGCUGGAAACCAACUAAUGGUUCAACUUGGAUAACUACAAAAGCGCUUCCAUGACCUUGACAGAGCAAUGAAAUUCCUCCAUUGUCAGCCCCUAAUAGGAGAAGACGAUUCAACGGAAGUAAAGUCAUCGCAGUAAGAACUCCUUUGAAUGUGUCCGAUCGUAGUUUGGUGGAAGAAAAUGAUGCUGUUGUUUCUACUGACGUAUGAACACCGAUUCUAUUCGCAGUUGUUGCUGAAAUCAAUUCCUGGAUAAUUCUUAACGAUUAACAAUACUACAUGCUAUGCAAUUGUGGUCCUCACUUCAGAUGAAAUUUUAAUUUU